GGAGGACGCAGGCGAUUUGGUUGGCCCCGGGAUGACUGAGGGAAGUAGUCAAUUGUUUUCCUCUCCCAACCCCUUUCCAAGUCCUGGCAAUCAACAGUGAGGGGAGCUCAAACUGUAUCUUGGCUAUAAGGUCUGCAUCGUGAGGGAUUAGCAGGAGGAGAAAAGUGAGGUCAUAAGCCGCCUGAGAGCGAGGAAUGCCCUCCUGACAGAAAAGUGAAGGAGCCCAUUUGUUCCAGAGAAAAUGCCUCCCUGGGAGUUCCUCGCCUCACCAAGUGAAUUAUCUCCUCUUUAUUGGACUUAUGAAGAGGCUGAACAGUGGUGUGCAGAACAGGCAAGGAUUUUCAUAAUGACAGUGUGGGAUGAGAGGACAAAGAUAGCAUAAAAAGGCUGAGGGAGAUUCUACACCCAGAAAAUAACUAGCCUUGUUUCCUGUGUCACCUUCGCUCCAAUGGGGGGGGACGCUGAGGGCCCAUUCAGUAGAUUCAGCGGAGCUAUGAAGUGGAAGAUUCUUUAUCACAAGAGUAUCUGCUCAUCGGUGAAGGGCCUAGACGGAUCUUUUUGUUAUUGUUGUUUGACCUCUGUUUUCUAAAUUGAUACAAUUCACAUACCAUAAAACUCACCCUUUAAAAGUGUGCGAUUCAGUGGUUGUCAGUAUAUCCACAAGGUUGUGCACCCAUCACCACCAUCUAAUUCCAGAACAUUUUCCUCGCCCCAGAAAGGACUCCUGUACCCGUUAGCAGUCAGUCUCCCUGCCCCCUCUUCCCAGCUGCUGGAAGCCAGCCAUCUACCCUCUGUUUCUAUAGAUUUAUCUGUUCUGGACAUGUCAUCUACAUGGAAGCAUAUAAUUUGUGGCUUUUUAUGUUUGUCUUAUUUUUUUAAGAUUU